rnacentral:rRNA from 1 species
CAGUCGCCACGGGAAUACGUAGGGUGCGAGCGUUAAUCGGAAUUACUGGGCGUAAAGCGUGCGCAGGCGGUUCGUUAAGACAGAUGUGAAAUCCCCGGGCUUAACCUGGGAACUGCAUUUGUGACUGGCGAGCUAGAGUAUGGCAGAGGGGGGUAGAAUUCCACGUGUAGCAGUGAAAUGCGUAGAUAUGCGGAGGAACACCGACGGCGAAGGCAAUCCCCUGGACCUGUACUGACGCUCAUGCACGAAAGCGUGGGGAGCAAACAGGAUUAGAUACCCCAGUAGUCCCUGUCUCUUAUAC